rnacentral:rRNA from 1 species
CCUACGGGAGGCAGCAGUGGGGAAUUUUGGACAAUGGGCGCAAGCCUGAUCCAGCCAUGCCGCGUGAGUGAAGAAGGCCUUCGGGUUGUAAAGCUCUUUCGGUCAGGAACGAAAUGGUUCGUGUUAAUACCACGGACUGAUGACGGUACCUGAAGAAGAAGCACCGGCUAACUACGUGCCAGCAGCCGCGGUAAUACGUAGGGUGCAGGCGUUAAUCGGAAUUACUGGGCGUAAAGCGUGCGCAGGCGGUUUCUUAAGUCAGAUGUGAAAGCCCCGGGCUUAACCUGGGAACUGCGUUUGAAACUGGGAGACUUGAGUGUGGCAGAGGGGGGUGGAAUUCCACGUGUAGCAGUGAAAUGCGUAGAUAUGUGGAGGAACACCGAUGGCGAAGGCAGCCCCCUGGGUUAACACUGACGCUCAUGCACGAAAGCGUGGGGAGCAAACAGGAUUAGAUACCCUGGUAGUCCACGCCCUAAACUAUGUCAACUGGUUGUCGGGGGAUUGAUUCCCUUGGUAACGAAGCUAACGCGUGAAGUUGACCGCCUGGGGAGUACGGCCGCAAGGUUAAAACCUCAAAGGAAUUGACGG